rnacentral:lncRNA from 1 species
GCCUAACCCUCGCCAGCCGCCGGAACCCCGCGACUUGGAGCAACUUUGUGUGCGCGAUGAGCGGAUGGAGGCGCGUUAAUGGUGGCACUUGGACCUUUCUUUACUGAGGAGAGAGCGCGAGGGAGGAAUGGGGCGGGGCGCGGGCUGUGCCGCCGGGUGGACCGAGGGAUGCGUCUCUACCACCCCAUCCGGACAACAACCGGCUCUCGGGGACAUCUGUCCAGCCCUACGGCGCCGCGCUGGAGUCGCUCCGGGCUCCGGACUCCUGUGAAGCCCUGCCAGGGUCGGGCGGGACCCCGCGUUGAGAGCUUCCAGGUCCGGGGGCCGCGAGGUCGUCUUUGCAGCCAGGCUGAGGACACGAGGCUUGAGCCUCCUGCGCCCACAGGCCCUGAGGCUCUGGUGCCCACCGGCAAAGAGGGCAACUGA